rnacentral:rRNA from 1 species
AUUGAACGCUGGCGGCAGGCUUAACACAUGCAAGUCGAACGGACCCUUCGGGGUUAGUGGCGGACGGGUGAGUAACACGUGGGAACGUGCCUUUUGGUUCGGAAUAGCUCCUGGAAACGGGUGGUAAUGCCGAAUGUGCCCUUUGGGGGAAAGGUUUAUCGCCAUUAGAGCGGCCCGCGUCUGAUUAGCUAGUUGGUGAGGUAAAGGCUCACCAAGGCGACGAUCAGUAGCUGGUCUGAGAGGAUGACCAGCCACAUUGGGACUGAGACACGGCCCAUACUCCUACGGGAGGCAGCAGUGGGGAAUCUUGCGCAAUGGGCGAAAGCCUGACGCAGCCAUGCCGCGUGAAUGAUGAAGGUCUUAGGAUUGUAAAAUUCUUUCACCGGGGACGAUAAUGACGGUACCCGGAGAAGAAGCCCCGGCUAACUUCGUGCCAGCCGCCGCUGUAAUAC